UACGUAGGGGGCGAGCGUUGUCCGGAUUUAUUGGGCGUAAAGAGCUCGUAGGCGGUGUGUCGCGUCGGCCGUGAAAACCUGCAGCUUAACUGUGGGCUUGCGGUCGAUACGGGCAUCACUGGAGUUCGGCAGGGGAGACUGGAAUUCCUGGUGUAGCGGUGAAAUGCGCAGAUAUCAGGAGGAACACCGGUGGCGAAGGCGGCUUUCUGGACAGAAACUGACGCUGAUGCGCGAAAGCUAGGGGAGCAAACAGG
rnacentral:rRNA from 1 species